ACGCCCCCUGUGGGCCGCCCUCUGGCCACGCCCCUCUCGCUCCGCCCACGCUCCUACUAGCUCCAGGCCCAGAGAGAGUAGUUGUCAGCGAGGAAGGACCGAGAGCGAAACUGGGAAGGAAGGAACGGGCUAGUCCUGAAGGGCUUCGAGCACCGAACGGCAUUUUGUCUUUGACCGCGGAGGCAAUAGGGAGCCAAGGAGGGGGGGAGGAGGCCAGCCUUGCUGUCAUACAGAGUCCCUUUGGGGGCUGAAGAGGGCGGGGCGAACCUGGCGAGGGGCGGACCUUCCAGCAGCUCCUGUCACAGUCCGGGGGUCACGUGGGGGCCCUGCUGCAAAGGGGGCGUGGAAGGCCUUGGCCGCAGCUUGGGGAGGGAGUCCCGGCAUCCUCUCCUCUACGCAGGAUGGAGAGCGGAGUGCGAGGGGGUCUCAGCCCCGGAAUGGGAGGCCCCACUGGCCCUCCGUCCCGAAGGCAGGAGAGGAGCGCUUUGGGCGUGGAAGGGCGGAAGGGCCUCGUGGGCUGCUGGGAUCCGGCUUGCCUAGCUAUGGAGGCCCGGAUUCCCAGAGCCCUGGGUGGCCCCGUUAGGGCCGGGAAGUCUCACUGCCCCUCUGGGACGCCUUCAUCCAGGGGGACGGCAGGAAGGUACCAUGUGAACAGUGCAAGCGGCCAUGAGCAAUUGUGAACAGAGGUAAACUGAGGCACAAAGCGGCCUGACCGGUCUGAACUAAGGCACUGACCCGGCAGUUCCGGUAACGAUGCAGAAGGGCCAACCGAGUACAAGAACAGAUUCUGCAGUUUCCGCCGAACUAGGGCUAAGUGGUGAGAAAGGAGAUCUCAGAGCUCGACGGUCCCAUUUCCUUCACGGCUGCCUCCAUCAGAUGAUCUGCGGAGCCGCUUCCACGCACUCUAAGGAGAGCCCCUCCUCUCCCUCCCCCUGAGCUCGCCUGAGACAGCACAGAAAAGUCCUGGGGAGCCCUCUGGGGGUCCCUCCCCCACGUCACCCCUCCUUUGGGUCCCCAACGGGCGAACACAAUUCCUCUUCAUGGUCUAGAACUGCCCCCCUCCUGUUGUUCACAAAGCACCUCCCGCUGCUCCCCAGCAUCAAUUGGCAUCAAUUGGCUUUGAGAACCAUGACUGGUGGAGUGGAGGGUGAGCCCAGGGGUCCACAGCAUCCCCUCACAGCAGUGACUCAGUUUCCCUUGGCCCAGGAGCUCUUGGGAGAGGAGCCAACAUCACGGAGAAGGUGCCUGGCUGGGGGAACCCGGGGCCAAGCUCUGCCCCGACCUCCUCGGACAGGGAGUCACGUCUCGGAGGUAUCUUCACAGGGGCUUCCGCGGGCCAUGCUGGGGGCCUGGAAGUGCCCCAUUGCUGAACUGAGCAGAGUGAGCUGCAGUUCCUUCACUGACCACUGACUGGCAGCAGCGUCUAGUCAUGUGACUCCAGGUGGAUUUUGUCUUAGUAGUAGUCUCUCGGUAACCGAGGAUGACGAUUGUCUUUGUGCGCUUUCAUCUGUGAUGUAGAUGAGUGUGCACAAAGACACUUGUGUGUGAAGGAGAUUUAAGUGGAAAAGUCGAUGCACAGAGACAGUCCCCCUCUCUCGGCAUUGGAAGCCUGGGUCCAGUGGCACAAAGAGUCGUUACACCUGGAGACUUCCUCAGCUGCAUUGGGUGGCCGCGUUGUCUUUUGUGCUCCAACACACCCUGAGCACUCCACAGUGCCUUGCUGCGUUGCCAUCUCAGCCGUUGAACCUUCUUGUUGAUUUCUUCCGCCUCUUCCAUGGAAGCAGUCUUCACAUGCUGGGAGACGGUGUGGGAGCAUCCUGUGCAUCCUGGCUCCACGCUUUCCAUUCUGGCGUCUUCAAUUGUCAUCAUCAACAGAUCUCCUUUCUGUGAUGAAUACUGAGGGAUGGGCUAAGUCAGUGUCCUGAUCCCAACCCCAGAUUGUACAGAUGGGCCUCCCAGGGGGAGGGGUGUCUGUGUGUUGGGACAUUCCUUAGAAGGUGCUCCUGAGCCCCCUAAUGUGACUACUUUCUGAGUGAGUUUCAGUGGAUCCCACCCUCUGGGGACCUAAAGGAGUCCAAAGGAAGCUGCUCCCCUCCACAGACCCAGACAAAAUCUGUUCCAGGCCAAUUUGCCUUCCCUGUAGCUGCCACCACCUCUACAGUCCCGAGAGGCAGCCCAAGUCUUCCAGCCCAACAUCAGCUCUCGAUGAAGCCAUCAGCGCCCACUGCUGUUGGCCGCCCUGUAAUUUUGGUGUUAUCAAUGAAAAGCCCCAAAUCCAGGCUGGAUCAGAUUGGUGCAUCCAUUUGUGUUGAGAAUUUUGGGCUCAUCAACUGCUGUGUCAUCCCGCCUCAUUCUUUUCUCCCUAACCCAGCAGCCCAGGCCCUGCUGAUCCCAGAUUUCAUCCCCUUCUUGAUGCGUUCAGUGAAUUGUUCUUCCCCGUCCAUGAGUCGGUCUUUGCGCCUUCACCCGGGUGGACCCUCCCUUUGCCACCUCGAAGCUGGCUUUUUCGGAAGUCGUGAUCUGGCUGUACCACUUGUAGCUGAAGGUUCCCUGCCUGCCAUCACAUGGUGUGAGGACUUAGAUAUGUUCUUGUGCUUCUGGUCUCUGCUUCUUAGAUAUGACCUCUGCUUCUUCCCCGGUCAGUCAGUCUAUUGGGAAGACUUGGUGCUACGGGAUCCUCACUGGCAAGCAGUGGACUCAGGGUCAGCACUUUGGGGCUGUCAUCCCUCCCGGUGCCAUUGGUACCCCCAGAUCUUAGCCCAAUACUUUUCUUUGAUAAGAACUUCCAGAGGCUUCAUCUGUCAUUGAGGCAUUUCUGAGGAGGAGCCUGCAGGGGCCAUUCCACGGAGAGGAAGACCAAGGGCAGGAGAAGCAAGGCAACGCCUGGCCUGGCUUGCCAGAAGACAGAGACUGCAGGAGAUUGUUUGGAGAAUCCUGAGGGAGGUGAAUGUUAAAGGUCACCUGGUUGUUCAGUCAUUUUUUAGUCAAGUCAGGCUCUUCGUGAUCCCAUUGGGGAUCUUCUUGGCAAAGACACUAGAGUGAUUUGCAGUUUCUUUCUCCAGCUCAUUUUACAGAUGAGGAAAUGGAGGCAAAGAGGGUUCCCCAGUUCGUAUGUGUUUGAGGCCCAAUUUUGACUCAGGGAGAUGAAUUUCCCUGACUCCAGGCCCAGCACUCGAUCCACUGUUGGAUCCAAGUUAAUCCUAAGAGCAACCCCCAAUUCAUGCUUCUUUAGCUUCGUGCUCUGCUGUUUCAGUCUCAGCAUCUCCAAAGACGGGACGAGCAUUUGUAGGUUAUUAUGGAGGCUUCUUUGAGCUUUUCUGUCCUAGCCUACUGAGUCUUUGUGCCUCUCUGGUCUGGCACCAGGUACAGAAGUGGCCUGAGGAUGGAGCUCUCGUUCUCAUUGGUCCAUCCUCUGUGAGCCUCCUCUUUACCUAACAAAUUAAAACUCAAGAAUCAGUGUUUCGACCAAUCUGUCUGCUUCUCCAGUGACGUGAUGGGCAUCUCCUUUAUUCUCCUAGCUGGCCUCCACUGAAUGGCCUCCCAGGGUGUGUAAUGCCUGCUUAAAGUGUGGGACCUGAACGCAGAACACAUCCUUUCAUUAAGAAAAAUUUUGGUAAUUCCCAGCCUAACCCCAUUUCCCCCUUACAGGUUAAACUAACAUAUUGAAAAAUAAAUUCUUCUAUUUCGGGAGAUAUAGAAAUUCUCGAGGCCCUAACAUUUAAUUUAAAAUUUUAGAUUAUAUUUCCCUUAUAAAUAACUAGAUUAUACAUGUGACAUUUAAUUGUAAGCUAAUCGGAACCUCAGAAAUGCAAGGGAAAAGAUAUUACUUAGAAAUACGCAUGCACAGACUAAGCAGCAAAAUCAAUAAAAACAAAGUAUAAUA